AUUGAACGCUGGCGGCAUGCCUUACACAUGCAAGUCGAACGGUAACGGGCCUUCGGGUGCCGACGAGUGGCGAACGGGUGAGUAAUGUAUCGGAACGUACCUUUCAGUGGGGGAUAACGUAGCGAAAGUUACGCUAAUACCGCAUAUUCUGUGCGCAGGAAAGCAGGGGAUCGCAAGACCUUGCGCUGAUUGAGCGGCCGAUAUCAGAUUAGCUAGUUGGUGAGGUAAAGGCUCACCAAGGCGACGAUCUGUAGCGGGUCUGAGAGGAUGAUCCGCCACACUGGAACGGAGACCCGGUCCAGACUCCUACGGGAGGCAGCAGUGGGGAAUUUUGGACAAUGGGGGCAACCCUGAUCCAGCCAUGCCGCGUGAGUGAAGAAGGCCUUCGGGUUGUAAAGCUCUUUCGGCCGGGAAGAAAUCGUAUCAGCUAAUACCUGGUGCGGAUGACGGUACCGGCAUAAGAAGCACCGGCUAACUACGUGCCAGCCGCCGCCGUAAGAC
rnacentral:rRNA from 1 species